CACAUAUCUUUAUUUAUAGCACCAAUCUUCUCUUUCACUUUUCUUACACCAAAAUACCUCUUCCUCAAUACUUUUCAUAAAGACCAUGUUUGAAUCCCGUUUGCGUUUGCAUUUUCUCUCGCUAAUCUUGCUCUGUUGUGUCUCCCCUUCAACGAGCUUCUACACUUUCACAUACGAUGAUAGUAUCUAUGUUGCUUGUCAUCCCAAUCAGACUCAAGCUCUUACUGAGUUCAUGAACGAGUUUGAUAGCAGCCACUGCAACCUCAGUGAUCCCAAUAAUGGAGUCUGGUGCGAUAAAUCGACCGGUGCGGUCACAAUGCUACGACUCCAGACCUGCCUCAGUGGAACGCUAAAGCCCAAUAUAUAGUAGCCUAUUCAGAUUACAACAUCUUCGUCACCUUGUCCUCGAUCAAAACAACUUCAUCUCGUCUUCACUUCCUUCUGAAUUUGGCAAUCUCAACAGGUUAGAGGUCAUAUAUCUUUCCAAUAAUAGCUUUGUAGGCCAAGUUCCUUCCUCAUUUAAUAACCUAAGCCUUCUUUCCUAUUUAUCUCUUUCCCUAAACGAGCUCACUGGUAGUUUCCCACUUGUAAGGAUUCUAACGAAGCUCUCGUUUUUAGACCUUUCUAAUAAUCAUUUCUCUGGAAGUCUGAAUCCCAAGAGUACUAGCCUGUUUGAGUUGCACCACCUCCGUUACCUUGAUCUAAGUCAAAACAACUUCACCUCAUCACUCCCUUCUGAAUUUGGAAAUCUCAACAGGUUAGAGGUCUUGUAUCUUCACUCCAAUGACUUUUACGGGCAAGUUCUUCCCACAAUUAGUAACCUAACCUCGUUAACCGAUUUGUACCUUGACCACAACCAGCUCACUGGUAGUUUCCCACUUGUACGGAAUCUAACAAAGCUCUCGUUUUUAGACCUUUCUCAUAAUCAUUUCUCUGGAACUCUGAAUCCCAACAAUACUAGCCUGUUUGAGUUGCACCACCUCAGUUACCUUGAUCUAGGUUCCAACAACUUCAGGUCAUCACUCCCUUCUGAAUUUGGAAAUCUCAACAAACUUGAGUUCUUGGAUCUUGCCUUUAAUGACUUUUUCGGGCUAGUUCCUCCCACAAUUAGUAACCUAACCUCGUUAACCGAAUUGUACCUUGACGACAACCAGCUCACUGGUAGUUUUCCACUUGUGGAAAAUCUAACCAUGCUCUCUGUUCUAAAUCUUGAUGAUAACUACUUCUCUGGAACCAUUCCUUCUUCUGUAGUCAAUAUGCCUAUCUUAUCAGAUCUCCGUCUGUAUGGAAACAAUCUCACCGGAUCUAUUAAAUUUCCUAACACCUCUACCCCAUCUAGGCUCAAGUCCAUGUACCUUGGGCGCAACCAUUUUGAAGGAAAAAUCAUAGAGCCUAUCUCAAAGCUCAUCAACCUCAAGGUUCUUGACCUUUCUUUCCUCAACACAAGUUACCCAAUUGAUAUAAGCCUCUUUUCCUCGCUAAAAUCUUUGGUGCACCUUGAUCUUUCCGGUAAUAGCAUACCUUCGGACAGUUUAGGUUCAAAGUCAGACAUCCCAACAGACUUGGAGAUCUUGCUCUUAUCAGACUGUGGCAUCACCGAGUUCCCAAAUGCCUUAAAGAACCUUGAGAAGUUGGAUUUUAUAGCAUUGUCCGACAAUAGAAUCAAAGGGAAAAUCCCCGAGUGGUUGUGGAACCUUCCUCAUCUAAACACAGUGUUUAUUUCAGAUAAUUUGUUUGAUGGUUUCGAAGGUCCAGUUGAUGUUUUAGUAAAUUCAUCGGUGAAGAAUUUAUUUAUGGAGAAAAACUAUUUUGAAGGAGCAAUUCCUAUUCUACCACUCUCUAUCAACUUUUUCUCUGCUUCAGACAACAGAUUCACAGGGAGCAUACCUCUUUCACUUUGCAAUUAUAGGUCUCUGACGCUCUUGAAGCUAUCUAACAACAACCUAACUGGUCCAAUUCCGCAAUGCUUGAGUCAAAGCUUGACGUUUGUGAAUCUUAGGAAGAAAAAUUUGGAAGGAAGUAUUCCUGACACGUUUUAUAUGGGUGCUUCUCUACGGUCUCUUGACGUUGGACACAAUCUACUCGCCGGGAAACUUCCAAGAUCUCUUCAAAACUGCUCAUCUCUAGAGUUUCUAGUUGUUGACCACAACAAAAUCAAAGACAAGUUUCCUUUUUGGCUCAAGGCUUUACCGAAUUUGCAAGUCCUUAUCCUCAGUUCAAACAAGUUCUAUGGCUCUAUAUCUCCCCCUGAUCAAGGUCCUCUCAGGUUUCCAGAGCUGCAAAUAUUUGAGAUAUCUGAUAAUAAGUUUUCUGGAAGCUUGCCACCAAGAUAUUUUGUCAACUGGAAAGCACCAACACUUACAAUGAAUGAAGAUGGUGAUAUAUAUAUGCAACACGGAGAAUUUAUACAUGGGGAAUUCAGCGCUGCCAUUAUGGAGGCUAUAGAUUUGCGAUACAAAGGUCUAACUAUGGAGCAACAGGGGGUCCUUACCUCAUACGCCACUAUUGAUUUUUCUGGGAAUAGAAUUGAAGGACAGAUUCCUGAAUCCAUUGGUCUUCUGAAAGCAUUGAUUUCACUCAACUUAUCAAACAACGCCUUCACUGGCCGUAUUCCUCUCUCUCUCUCCAAUCUUGGCAAGCUCGAGUCACUUGACCUAUCAAGCAACCAACUCUCAGGGACUAUUCCUAAUGGAAUCGGGAGCCUCUCUUUUUUGGAGUACAUAAAUGUGUCUCACAACCAACUCAAGGGUGAAAUACCACAAGGAACACAGAUUACUGGCCAACCUAAAUCUUCAUUUGAAGGAAAUGCAGGGCUUUGUGGUCUUCCUCUCCAGGAAACUUGCUUUGGGACUAAUAAUGUACCACCUACACAACAACCUAAAGAAGAUGAAGAAGAGGAAGAAGUGUUGAACUGGAAAGCUGUAGAUAUUGGAUAUGGCCUUGGAGUGUUGCUUGGACUGGCAAUAGCACAGCUCGUUGCUUCAUACAAACCGGAGUGGCUCCUCAAGAUAGUUGGUCCCAGUAAGCGCAGAAGCAGUAUGAGUGUAAUCCUUGAAUGUAUGUCUUAGUUUUAAAUGCUCAUGUAUGCAAGCAUUUCCUUAUGUUUGUUGUAUCAUUAUCUGAUGUUUUGUUCUAUUUAUCCUUUCUGUAAAGAAUCCGAAGUCUUUCAGUCGUUAA